CUGGAACACAGCAAAGGAGAGCUUGCUAAUCAUUCCUGCCAACAUGUAGAGGACAGGGGGCCCAACACAGAAACAGUUUCAUUCCCAUCAAAUCUCCAUGAAAUGAGAAAGUGGGUUCUUCAAAAAACCUUUCUCAUUUCACAAAUGUGUAGUAUUUUCCAUCUUCUCUUUCUGGACUUGCAGAACUCCUAACAGAACACUAUUUCAAGAGUCGAGAGAGGGAGAUAACACUUCUCAUCUACGGCUUCCAAGGGUCCCUUUCAUUAUCUACAGAAAUAAGCCUCUGCAUGACAGAAGAGGACUUGUUAACAUUACUGAGAGCUGCUUUAACUACCGAACCGACUCAAACCUCGUAGGACUAGGAUGCAUUUGAUAUGCCUGACUUCUCUGCAGCAAACAGUUUGCAGUGAGCAAUACAGCACAGACCUUCUACCAGCAGGGACUAGCCACAACUGAGGAGCUUCAAAGACAAC
ensembl:lncRNA